rnacentral:lncRNA from 1 species
CAAUAACACAGACAUUAACAACUAUAGGUCACCGUACGGAAUUCAACAAUGAGCAAAGCCCAUACCGCAUAGUCAGCUAUAAAAGGCCCGAUAAGAUAAUGUAAAACAAUUUAAACGAAAAAACUAACGGCCUUAUUUAUGUAAAAAAAAAUGAACGAAAAACAAAUAUGUAACACAUAAACAAACGACAACCACUAAAUUACAGGCUCCUGACUUGGGACAGGCACAUACAUAAAUAAUGUGGCGGGGUUAAACAUGUUAGCGGGAUACCAACCCUCCCCUAACCUGGGACAGUGGUAUAACAGUACAACAUAAGAACGAAG